AAGGAUCAUUAACGAGAUCAUGCCCUCACGGGUAGACCUCCCACCCUUGAAUACUAUACCUUCGUUGCUUUGGCGGGCCGCCUCGGCCACCGGCUCUCGCUGGUGAGUGCCCGCCAGAGGACCCUAAACUCUGAAUUAUCGUGUCGUCUGAGUACUUAUACAAUAGUUAAAACUUUCAACAACGGAUCUCUUGGUUCUG
rnacentral:misc_RNA from 1 species